CACGUAGGGGGCAAGCGUUGUCCGGAUUUAUUGGGCGUAAAGAGCUCGUAGGCGGCUUAGUAAGUCGGGUGUGAAACCUCCAGGCUCAACCUGGAGACGCCACCCGAUACUGCUGUGGCUAGAGUCCGGUAGGGGAGCGUGGAAUUCCUGGUGUAGCGGUGAAAUGCGCAGAUAUCAGGAGGAACACCGGUGGCGAAGGCGGGUCUCUGGGCAACAACUGACGCUGAGGAGCGAAAGCGUGGGGAGCGAACAGG
rnacentral:rRNA from 1 species